CCAAGCCCAGUAACAAUAUUGUUAUAUAAUGAUCCUUCUUCACCAUCGGCAUAGAACUCGAUAAGCGCGGCUUCUGUAAAGCUCCGUCGCAUCCGAAGCUCAAAAAGCUUCAUCAAUGGUGUCUCUUCUCCUACCUUCAUCUCAACUUCUCCUCCGUAGUCGAAACCAACACAAUGUCCAGCCAUUUCUCCUCCCUCGCUCCUCCCCCAAAACACCAUUCUUCGUCUCCUCCUCACCGUCUCUCCGUCAACACUCUACUUCAGCCUCAGCUUCCAAGAACCCAUCGGAAGCUUUCACGGCGGAGAAGACGACGGAGAACAAAAAACAGCCGGAGAAGAAGCAUUUGAGCGAGGAGGAAGAAGCAGAAGAGGAAGUAGAGGAGGAUAUGCUGUGGAUUCAAGAGAAGGCGUUAAACUUAGUUGAGUUCACCGGAACGGUGGCUCAGGCAAUUCCAGGCCCCCGAGUUGGAGAUACCAAGCUGCCGUGGAUGCUCGCUGUUCCAUUAACUUACGCCGUCACCACUUUGGUCACCACCGCCGUUAAAACCGUUAAUAAGCUCUCUUCUCCUAAAGCGCAACGCAAGAAACUGGUGAAUCAGAAUGCAAUGAUUUGUAAAUCUAUGGACGAGCUGUUACAGAGAGAAGGCACUGUGAGUAGCUUUGAGCUCAAGGCACUCGAAGAAAAGACAGAGUUUAACAUGGAUGAGAUAUUACGGAAGUACAUUCAUUACGCCUUGAAAGAGAAACCGUUUAAUCCUGACCUUGUUGCGAAUCUUAUUCAUCUCAGAAGAGCUUCUGGUUUGAAUGAAUCUCAGAUUCCUGAGGUUUUAAAUGAAAUCUCUCGUAGUAUUGUUAAAGAAAAAGGUCCUGUUGUAAUGAACAAGCAAGGGUUUACUGAGAAAGGGUUCAAGAGAAAACUAGCCGUGCAGACGCUUUUUGGAAAAAUUUACUAUCUUUCCGAGCUUCCUGACUUCUGCUUAAAAGACAACUCCUUGGUUGUCAAGGAAAUAUUCGGAGUUACAGAUGAAGACGCAGAGAAGCUGAGGAUACAUGCUCUUGCUGAAGCGGGAGACUUGGACUCACUUGAGAAAAUGGUGGAGUUUGAGAAAGCGGCUGAUUCUUCUUCUUCUUCGGAUAGGGAAGAUUCAAAUGAAGAAGAUGACUCCACUACUGUUCCUUAAGAUACCUGUUCAAGAACCAACUUCAACACAAAAAAAGGAUUCAUUUUUUUUUCUAAUUAGUCACAAGUUGUUCUUAUGUGUACGACGUUAUUAUCCAGCCAACUAGAUUGUCUUUUGAUAUAAAGACAGUUUGUGUAAUAGAAAAAUCUAAGAUUCAGCACAAAAAUACCAGUUGUAGCUUAUAUCAUACCUACAAUUAUAUAAUAGACUGAUUUAACCUAA